rnacentral:rRNA from 1 species
CCUACGGGUGGCAGCAGUGGGGGAUAUUGCACAAUGGGGGAAACCCUGAUGCAGCGACGCCGCGUGGGUGAAGAAGUAUUUCGGUAUGUAAAGCCCUAGCAGCAGGGAAGAAAGAAGACGGUACCGGACGAAGAAGCCCCGGCUAACUACGUGCCAGCAGCCGCGGUAAUACGUCGGGGGCGAGCGUGAUCCGGAAUUACGGGGUGUAAAGGGAGCGUAGACGGUGAGGCAAGUCUGGAGUGAAAGGCGGGGGCCCAACCCCCGGACUGCUCUGGAACCUGUGUAACUUGAGUGCAGGAGAUGUAAGCGGAAUUCCUCGUGUAGCGGUGCCAUGCUUCGAUAUUAGGCGGACCCCCAGUGGCGCAGGCGGCUUACUGGACUGUACCUGACGUUUAGGCUCGCACGCGUGGGGAGCAAACCGGAUUAGAUACCCUUGUAGUC